UCCAUUUCCCAUGCUCUCUCGC
rnacentral:miRNA from 1 species